rnacentral:rRNA from 1 species
UACAGAGGGUGCGAGCGUUGUUCGGAAUUACUGGGCGUAAAGCGCGCGCAGGCGGAUCCUGCAAGUCCGGAGUGAAAUCUCACCGCUCAACGGUGAGGCUGCUUUGGAUACUGCGGAUCUGGAGACCGGUAGAGGCUGGUAGAAUUGCAGGUGUAGCGGUGGAAUGCGUAGAGAUCUGCAAGAAUACCCGUGGCGAAGGCGGCAUCCUGGGCCGGUAUUGACGCUGAGGAGCGAAAGCCAGGGGAGCAAACGGG